UACGGAGGGUGCAAGCGUUAUCUGGAUUCACUGGGUUUAAAGGGUGCGUAGGAGGGCAGGUAAGUCAGUGGUGAAAUCCCCGAGCUUAACUUGGGAACUGCCGUUGAUACUAUCUGUCUUGAAUACCGUGGAGGUGAGCGGAAUAUGUCAUGUAGCGGUGAAAUGCUUAGAUAUGACAUAGAACACCAAUUGCGAAGGCAGCUCGCUACACGAAUAUUGACUCUGAGGCACGAAAGCGUGGGGAUCAAACAGG
rnacentral:rRNA from 1 species